rnacentral:rRNA from 1 species
AUACGAAGGGGGCUAGCGUUGUUCGGAAUUACUGGGCGUAAAGCGCGCGUAGGCGGAUUGGUCAGUUAGGGGUGAAAUCCCAGGGCUUAACCCUGGAACUGCCUCCAAUACUGUCAGUCUUGAGUUCGGGAGAGGUGAGUGGAAUUCCUAGUGUAGAGGUGAAAUUCGUAGAUAUUAGGAAGAACACCAGUGGCGAAGGCGGCUCACUGGCCCGAUUCUGACGCUGAGGCGCGGAAGCGUGGGGAGCAAACAGGAUUAGAUACCCUAGUAGUCC